GAAGUCGGAAUUGCUAGUAAUCGCGGAUCAGCAUGCCGCGGUGAAUACGUUCCCGGGCCUUGUACACACCGCCCGUCACACCAUGGGAGCCGGUAAUACCCGAAGUCAGUAGUCCAACCUCGUGAGGACGCUGCCGAAGGUAGGAUUGGCGACUGGGGUGAAGUCGUAACAAGGUAAC
rnacentral:rRNA from 1 species